AAAUUGAAGAGUUUGAUCAUGGCUCAGAUUGAACGCUGGCGGCAGGCCUAACACAUGCAAGUCGAACGGUAACAGGAAACAGCUUGCUGUUUCGCUGACGAGUGGCGGACGGGUGAGUAAUGUCUGGGAAACUGCCUGAUGGAGGGGGAUAACUACUGGAAACGGUAGCUAAUACCGCAUAACGUCGCAAGACCAAAGAGGGGGACCUUCGGGCCUCUUGCCAUCGGAUGUGCCCAGAUGGGAUUAGCUAGUAGGUGGGGUAACGGCUCACCUAGGCGACGAUCCCUAGCUGGUCUGAGAGGAUGACCAGCCACACUGGAACUGAGACACGGUCCAGACUCCUACGGGAGGCAGCAGUGGGGAAUAUUGCACAAUGGGCGCAAGCCUGAUGCAGCCAUGCCGCGUGUAUGAAGAAGGCCUUCGGGUUGUAAAGUACUUUCAGCGGGGAGGAAGGGAGUAAAGUUAAUACCUUUGCUCAUUGACGUUACCCGCAGAAGAAGCACCGGCUAACUCCGUGCCAGCAGCCGCGGUAAUACGGAGGGUGCAAGCGUUAAUCGGAAUUACUGGGCGUAAAGCGCACGCAGGCGGUUUGUUAAGUCAGAUGUGAAAUCCCCGGGCUCAACCUGGGAACUGCAUCUGAUACUGGCAAGCUUGAGUCUCGUAGAGGGGGGUAGAAUUCCAGGUGUAGCGGUGAAAUGCGUAGAGAUCUGGAGGAAUACCGGUGGCGAAGGCGGCCCCCUGGACGAAGACUGACGCUCAGGUGCGAAAGCGUGGGGAGCAAACAGGAUUAGAUACCCUGGUAGUCCACGCCGUAAACGAUGUCGACUUGGAGGUUGUGCCCUUGAGGCGUGGCUUCCGGAGCUAACGCGUUAAGUCGACCGCCUGGGGAGUACGGCCGCAAGGUUAAAACUCAAAUGAAUUGACGGGGGCCCGCACAAGCGGUGGAGCAUGUGGUUUAAUUCGAUGCAACGCGAAGAACCUUACCUGGUCUUGACAUCCACGGAAGUUUUCAGAGAUGAGAAUGUGCCUUCGGGAACCGUGAGACAGGUGCUGCAUGGCUGUCGUCAGCUCGUGUUGUGAAAUGUUGGGUUAAGUCCCGCAACGAGCGCAACCCUUAUCCUUUGUUGCCAGCGGUCCGGCCGGGAACUCAAAGGAGACUGCCAGUGAUAAACUGGAGGAAGGUGGGGA
rnacentral:rRNA from 1 species